rnacentral:misc_RNA from 1 species
GAAAAACUUUGGAUUUUCCCUCAUGUUUGGGGAUGUAACAGCCCUCGCGAUACGCUGAGAAAGUCGUUGAAAUGGCAAACUCUGUAUGAACACCAUGCCUGGUCCUGUUAAUGUAGCUGUCACUAAGUUUUCACCUCCAAACACUGCUCUUCUCACAGGACCAUUGUAUUUGAUUUGGACAUCAAUGGAGGUGGUCAUAGCUACAAUGCAGGAGAUAUCCACUGCUAGAACUUCA